AACUGUUAGUGAAAAUCAGAGACAGGCUUGAGUGUAAAAUCGUUGGCCUGUCCAACACACAGGCAUACGGCAAUAAUAAUAAAAAAUACAGUGCAAUUACGGAAAAACUGUUUGGAAAGCAAAUGGCUAUUGCUGCAAAGAGAUGACAAUGAAGACUCUUAUCUGUCUUUUAGCUACUAGCCUAUCAAAAUUCGUAACUUAUUUGAGCGAACAGAAGCAUGUCCUAUUGGCACCAGCGGAUAACAUCCGCCAUAUCCCCGCAUCUGUAGAACAGGCUUAACUCUCCUCCACCAGUCAUACAAGGAUGAUGGUCAAAUGCCUCCCCAUCAAAAAUAGAGCUGGCCCAAACAAGAAGAGGACACACCUAAAGCAUGAGGACUUGCAGCGAGUUGUGAACUUCAUCAACAACUACGCAGAGGAUAAUGCAAUAGUAUUACCAGGACACAAACACUUUGUGGAAAGUUGAUGCCAUCCCAUGUGACAAAAGUAGCAGUGUGGCAUCUCUACAAGGAAUCGAUGACAACACUUGGUUUAUUGCUCUGGAGCCUGGUGUUGUUGUUUCGAAGGAGUGUUCUGACUCAGCCAAGACCAGGUUUCAGCUGCUGUGCAACGCUGAUAUCCUUCCUCCCAUAUAUGGUCUGCCUGUACAAGCACUACCUGAACUGGACACAGCUAGACAAACAUAUAUUUUUGAGAAGAUCAGGGAGUUUUGCGACGAAGAGGCUAUGGACAUCACAUGCCCUGCACCAAAGUCAAGGACAGAAACAGACUCUGUGAAUAUAGAUUCCUUUGUUCAUUCAUGGUUCGGAUGGACUAAUUCAUCACUGGGGGCAAGUUCCCAGUCAUCAGCACUAUCUGCAGUGCCUCUAUUCAAAUGACUCUCUCCGAACACACACGCCAUACGUUGCUACUACUAUUGUUGUUCAUCCUGCUGCUCAGCCACUUUACCCCUGAUUGCAUGCAUAUAACUACCUCAUCGAUCACUGAUAUCGUUAUUGAUAUUGUUCUUGUACAUACUGUAUUUUGUAUUCUUUAUACUGACACUCUAUUUUUCAUAUUGCUACUAUGUAAGUAACCAUUUCACUGUACUGUUCACCUUCUGUAGAGACCCAACCACUUAGCAAGAUGUGGCUUGGGGUUAUAACAUUUCUUUCACAUGACCCAUCAAUUUAGACAAGUGUGUCUGGGUAAGCAUCAUCUAAUAUUUAUAACAUAUUUUUUAUCUGCAUACUUUCAG